GCGAACAUAGCUUAGCUGGUAAAGCGCAAUCUUGCCAAGGUUGGGAUCGGGUGUUCGAGUCACCUUGUUCGCU
rnacentral:tRNA from 1 species